rnacentral:rRNA from 1 species
CUGCGAAUGGCUCAUUAUAUAAGUUAUCGUUUAUUUGAUAUUGCCUAUCCUACAUGGAUAACAGUGGUAAUUCUAGAGCUAAUACAUGCUGAAAAUCCCGACUUCGGAAGGGACGUAUUUAUUAGAAUCAGAACCAAUGCCCUUCGGGGUUCCUUGGUGAAUCAUGAUAACUCCACAGAUCGCAUGGCCUUGCGCCGGCGAUGGCUCAUUCAAAUUUCUUCCCUAUCAACUUUCGACGGUACGGUCUUGGCCUACCGUGGUUGUAACGGGUGACGGAGGGUUAGGGCUCGACCCCGGAGAAGGAGCCGGAGGAACGGCUACUACAUCCAAGGAAGGCAGCAGGCGCGCAAAUUAUCCAAUCCCGACACGGGGAGAUAGUGACAAUAAAUACCGAUACAGGGCUCUUUUGGGCCCUGUAAUUGGAAUGAGUACAAUUUAAACCUCUUAACGAGGAACAAUUGGAGGGCAAGUCUGGUGCCAGCAGCCGCGGUAAUUCCAGCUCCAAUAGCGUAUAUUAAAGUUGUUGUGGUUAAAAAGCUCGUAGUCGAACCUCGAGCCUGGCCGGCCGGUCCGCCUCACCGCGUGCACUGGUCUGGCCGGGCUCUUCCCUCUGCGGAACCGCAUGUCCUUCACUGGGCGUGUCGGGGAGGCAGGACUUUUACUUUGAAAAAAUUAGAGUGCUCAAGGCAGGCCAAUGCUCGAAUACAUUAGCAUGGAAUAAUAGAAUAGGACGUUGGUUCUAUUUUGUUGGUUUCUAGGACCGCCGUAAUGAUCAAUAGGGACGGUCGGGGGCAUCAGUAUUCAGCCGUCAGAGGUGAAAUUCUUGGACCGGCUGAAGACUAACUACUGCGAAAGCAUUUGCCAAGGACGUUUUCGCUGAUCAGGAACGAAAGUUAGGGGAUCGAAGACGAUCAGAUACCGUCGUAGUCUUAACCAUAAACUAUGCCGACUAGGGAUCGGGCGGCGUUCUUUCUAGACCCGCUCGGCACCUUUCGAGAAAUCAAAGUGC